CCGCGGGUGCGAUCUAUACAUGCAGUCGAGCGGACAGAUGGGAGCUUGCUCCCUGAUGUUAGCGGCGAGACGGGUGAGUAACACGUGGGUAAACUGCCUGUAAGACUGGGAUAACUCCGGGAAACCGGGGCUAAUACCGGAUGGUUGUUUGAACCGCAUGGUUCAAACAUAAAAGGUGGCUUCGGCUACCACUUACAGAUGGACCCGCGGCGCAUUAGCUAGUUGGUGAGGUAACGGCUCACCAAGGCAACGAUGCGUAGCCGACCUGAGAGGGUGAUCGGCCACACUGGGACUGAGACACGGCCCAGACUCCUACGGGAGGCAGCAGUAGGGAAUCUUCCGCAAUGGACGAAAGUCUGACGGAGCAACGCCGCGUGAGUGAUGAAGGUUUUCGGAUCGUAAAGCUCUGUUGUUAGGGAAGAACAAGUACCGUUCGAAUAGGGCGGUACCUUGACGGUACCUAACCAGAAAGCCACGGCUAACUACGUGCCAGCAGCCGCGGUAAUACGUAGGUGGCAAGCGUUGUCCGGAAUUAUUGGGCGUAAAGGGCUCGCAGGCGGUUUCUUAAGUCUGAUGUGAAAGCCCCCGGCUCAACCGGGGAGGGUCAUUGGAAACUGGGGAACUUGAGUGCAGAAGAGGAGAGUGGAAUUCCACGUGUAGCGGUGAAAUGCGUAGAGAUGUGGAGGAACACCAGUGGCGAAGGCGACUCUCUGGUCUGUAACUGACGCUAAGGAGCGAAAGCGUGGGGAGCGAACAGGAUUAGAUACCCUGGUAGUCCACGCCGUAAACGAUGAGUGCUAAGUGUUAGGGGGUUUCCGCCCCUUAGUGCUGCAGCUAACGCAUUAAGCACUCCGCCUGGGGAGUACGGUCGCAAGACUGAAACUCAAAGGAAUUGACGGGGGGCGCGCACAACCGGUGGAACAUGUGGUUUAAUUCGAAGCAACCCGAAGAACCUUACCAGGUCUUGACAUCCUCUGACAAUCCUAAAAAAUAGGACGUCCCCUUCCGGGGCAGAGUUACAGGUGGUGGCAGGGUUGGCGUCACCUCCUGUCCUGGAAAUGUAGGGUUAAGUCCCCCCACCAAACCCAACCCUUGAUCUUAAUUGCCAACCUUCCAUUUUGGCACUCUGAGGUUACUGGCGGUUAACAAACCGAAAAAAAAGUGGGGAUGAGGUUCGAAUAACCUUACCCCCUUAAGGCCUGGGUUAACACCGUGGCUACAAUUGGAGGAAAAAAAAGGGAAAAAGAAACCGGCGAGGUUAACCCCUGUCCCCAAACUCUUCUUCCAAUUUUUUAUCCCCAGUUCCGACACCCACUCCCUCUAAAACUGAGAGGCGAGAUAUAAAUCGGAAUAAAAAUACAACCCGGGGAAAAAAUUUCCCGGGCCGUGGUAAAACCCCCGCGCGUGUCCAACAAAACAAUUUUUUAACCCCAAAAAUGGGGGAAGGGGAACCUUUUUUUAGCGCCCGCGCAACCCGGGAGGAAACGCCCACGGGGAGUUGGAAAAGAAUUGGAAGCGGGGGCCUAGGGGGGGGUUGGGGUGGCCCAAGAACAAAAAGGGUUUGGGAAAACCCCCCAAGAGAAAAAAAAAGAAAAAAAAAAAAAAAAAAAAAAAAAAUUUUUGGGGUUUUUUUGGGGGGGGGGGAAGAAGAAAAAAGAAAAAUUUUUUGGGAAAUGGGGAAAAAAGGGAAGGGCCUUGGAGUUGGGAAAAGGGGGCGAAAAUUUGGGGGAUUUGGGGGGGGAAAAUAUAGGGUUGGACCAAACUUUGGGAACCCCUUUAAGAACCCUUGUGGGCCAAAAAAAUGGGAAAACCAAAAGGGGUGGGGGAAUCUUUCGGGAAC
rnacentral:rRNA from 1 species